rnacentral:rRNA from 1 species
GACAAACGCUGGCGGCAUGCCUAACACAUGCAAGUCGAACGGACAGAACAGGGAAGCUUUUCGGAGUGGAACUGGAAAGUUAGUGGCGGAUGGGUGAGUAACGCGUGGACAACCUACCUUGUAAAGGGGAAUAACCUCGAGAAAUCGAAGCUAAUACCCCAUAAUAACCUUGCUUCGCAUGAAGUAAGGAGGAAAGGCGGCCUUAGCGCUGUCGAUACAAGAUGGGUCUGCGUCUGAUUAGCUAGUUGGUGAGGUAAAGGCUCACCAAGGCGACGAUCAGUAGCCGGCCUGAGAGGGUGAACGGCCACAUUGGGACUGAGACACGGCCCAAACUCCUACGGGAGGCAGCAGUGGGGAAUCUUCCGCAAUGGGCGAAAGCCUGACGGAGCAAUGCCGCGUGAGUGAGAAGGCCUUCGGGUUGUAAAACUCUGUCCUUAUCGAAGAGAGAGUGUUGUAGUAACUGACAAUACUAGGACGGUAGAUGAGGAGGAAGCCCCGGCUAACUAUGU